rnacentral:tRNA from 1 species
GUUAUGGUAGUGCGUAUGCCUUGUAAGCGCUAGGCCGCGGGUUCGAUUCCCGCCCGGAACG